rnacentral:rRNA from 1 species
ACGGCAGUACCAUGCUGAAUAUACCGGUUCUCGUUAGAUCACCGAAGUUAAGCAUCAUUGGGCGCGGUCAGUACUUGGGUGGGUGACCACCUGGGAACACUGCGUGC